ACAGCGGUAGUUCAGUGGUGGAAAUCUCACCUUUCAUGUAGGACACCUGGGCUCGAUUCCCGGCCAAUGUG
rnacentral:tRNA from 1 species